CCGAUGGCGACCGGCGCACGGGUGAGUAACACGUAUCCAACCUGCCGAUAACUCGGGGAUAGCCUUUCGAAAGAAAGAUUAAUAUCCGAUAGGAUAUCAAGAUCGCAUGAUCUUGAUAUUAAAGAAUUUCGGUUAUCGAUGGGGAUGCGUUCCAUUAGUUAGUUGGCGGGGUAACGGCCCACCAAGACGACGAUGGAUAGGGGUUCUGAGAGGAAGGUCCCCCACAUUGGAACUGAGACACGGUCCAAACUCCUACGGGAGGCAGCAG
rnacentral:rRNA from 1 species